CCGAGCAUAGCUCAGUUGGUAGAGCGGAAGACUGUAGUGUAAACUGUCAUCUUUAGGUCACUAGUUCGAAUCUGGUUGCUCGGA
rnacentral:tRNA from 1 species